ACCAACAGGGAUUGCCCUAGUAACGGCGAGUGAAGCGGCAACAGCUCAAAUUUGAAAUCUGGCCGCAAGGCCCGAGUUGUAAUUUGUAGAGGAUGCUUUGGGCGCGGCGCCUUCCGAGUUCCCUGGAACGGGACGCCAUAGAGGGUGAGAGCCCCGUCUGGUUGGAUGCCUAGCCUAUGUAAAGCUCCUUCGACGAGUCGAGUAGUUUGGGAAUGCUGCUCAAAAUGGGAGGUAUAUGUCUUCUAAAGCUAAAUACUGGCCAGAGACCGAUAGCGCACAAGUAGAGUGAUCGAAAGAUGAAAAGCACUUUGAAAAGAGGGUUAAAUAGUACGUGAAAUUGUUCAGAGGGAAGCGCUUCUGACCAGACUUGGGCUCGGUGAAUCAUCCAGCGUUCUCGCUGGUGCACUUUGCCGGUCCAGGCCAACAUCAGUUCGUCGCGGGGGAUAAAGGCUUCGGGAAAGUGGCCCCUCGGGGGUGUUAUAGACCGUUGUGCAAUACCCUGCGAUGGACUGAGGUUCGCCUCCGC
rnacentral:rRNA from 1 species